ACGGAAGGCAUCAGUGGGGAAUAUUGCACAAUGGGCGAAAGCCUGUUGCAGCGACGCCGCGUGAGUGAUGAAGUAUUUCGGUAUGUAAAGCUCUAUCAGCAGGGAAGAUAAUGACGGUACCUGACUAAGAAGCACCGGCUAAAUACGUGCCAGCAGCCGCGGUAAUACGUAUGGUGCAAGCGUUAUCCGGAUUUACUGGGUGUAAAGGGAGCGCAGGCGGUACGGCAAGUCUGAUGUGAAAGCCCGGGGCUCAACCCCGGUACUGCAUUGGAAACUGUCGAACUAGAGUGUCGGAGGGGUAAGUGGAAUUCCUAGUGUAGCGGUGAAAUGCGUAGAUAUUAGGAGGAACACCAGUGGCGAAGGCGGCUUACUGGACGAUAACUGACGCUGAGGCUCGAAAGCGUGGGGAGCAAACAGGAUUAGAUACCCUGGUA
rnacentral:rRNA from 1 species